rnacentral:rRNA from 1 species
AACGAACGCUGGCGGCAUGCCUAACACAUGCAAGUCGAACGAGACCUUCGGGUCUAGUGGCGCACGGGUGCGUAACGCGUGGGAACCUGCCCUUAGGUUCGGAAUAACUCCCCGAAAGGGGUGCUAAUACCGGAUAAUGUCUUCGGACCAAAGAUUUAUCGCCUUUGGAUGGGCCCGCGUUGGAUUAGCUAGUUGGUAGGGUAAAAGCCUACCAAGGCGACGAUCCAUAGCUGGUCUGAGAGGAUGAUCAGCCACACUGGGACUGAGACACGGCCCAGACCCCAUGGGGGGGCGGGAGGGGGGAUAAUGGAGCAAUGGGGGAAGGCCUGAUCCAGCAAGGCCGGGGGAGGGAUGAAGGCCUUGGGGUUGAAAAGCUCUUUUCCCCGGGAUGAAAAUACAAGUCCCGGGAAAAAAAACCCCGCCAAACCCCGG